GAGGGUGUAGUUCAGUGGUAGAGUACUUCCCUGGCAUGCAGGUGGCUCUGGGUUCAAUCCCCAGCACUAGUG
rnacentral:tRNA from 1 species